CCUGGGAGUGCACGAGGCCUCGGCGGAAGUUGCCGGACCAGCCGGCCUGCCUCCUUACCUUGGGCCCGGCCCCUCGCCUUCAAGGCGGCAGAAAUCCUCCGCGCUGGACCCCUGGCUUCGGGCUCCUGGGCAGAUGUUUCAGGAACUUAGAUUCUUGGCAAAGCCCACUGCUGCCUCGCCUGGGCACAGAAUCCUGAGGCCUCACCUGCCCAGCGUCUGGCAGGAGUGGUGCUCCAGGUUGGAUCCUGCUGGGAGACCCGUCCUACUGGCAGAGGCCACCUUCACCCCAUUUCCUCAAGGUCUUGGCACCCAUAGUGCCCAGGCUUGUCCCCCCUGGGUCCCUCCCAGUCCUGAC
rnacentral:lncRNA from 1 species